AUGAACGCUAGCGACAGGCUUAACACAUGCAAGUCGAGGGGCAGCACAGGUAGCAAUACCGGGUGGCGACCGGCGCACGGGUGAGUAACGCGUAUGCAACUUGCCUAUCAGAGGGGGAUAACCCGGCGAAAGUCGGACUAAUACCGCAUGAAGCAGGGGCCCCGCAUGGGGAUAUUUGCUAAAGAUUCAUCGCUGAUAGAUAGGCAUGCGUUCCAUUAGGCAGUUGGCGGGGUAACGGCCCACCAAACCGACGAUGGAUAGGGGUUCUGAGAGGAAGGUCCCCCACAUUGGUACUGAGACACGGACCAAACUCCUACGGGAGGCAGCAGUGAGGAAUAUUGGUCAAUGGGCGUAAGCCUGAACCAGCCAAGUCGCGUGAGGGAUGAAGGUUCUAUGGAUCGUAAACCUCUUUUAUAAGGGAAUAAAGUGCGGGACGUGUCCCGUUUUGUAUGUACCUUAUGAAUAAGGAUCGGCUAACUCCGUGCCAGCAGCCGCGGUAAUACGGAGGAUCCGAGCGUUAUCCGGAUUUAUUGGGUUUAAAGGGUGCGUAGGCGGCCUUUUAAGUCAGCGGUGAAAGUCUGUGGCUCAACCAUAGAAUUGCCGUUGAAACUGGGGGGCUUGAGUAUGUUUGAGGCAGGCGGAAUGCGUGGUGUAGCGGUGAAAUGCAUAGAUAUCACGCAGAACCCCGAUUGCGAAGGCAGCCUGCCAAGCCAUUACUGACGCUGAUGCACGAAAGCGUGGGGAUCAAACAGGAUUAGAUACCCUGGUAGUCCACGCAGUAAACGAUGAUCACUAGCUGUUUGCGAUACACUGUAAGCGGCACAGCGAAAGCGUUAAGUGAUCCACCUGGGGAGUACGCCGGCAACGGUGAAACUCAAAGGAAUUGACGGGGGCCCGCACAAGCGGAGGAACAUGUGGUUUAAUUCGAUGAUACGCGAGGAACCUUACCCGGGUUUGAACGCAUUCGGACCGAGGUGGAAACACCUUUUCUAGCAAUAGCCGUUUGCGAGGUGCUGCAUGGUUGUCGUCAGCUCGUGCCGUGAGGUGUCGGCUUAAGUGCCAUAACGAGCGCAACCCUUGCCACUAGUUACUAACAGGUGAUGCUGAGGACUCUGGUGGGACUGCCAGCAUAAGCUGCGAGGAAGGCGGGGAUGACGUCAAAUCAGCACGGCCCUUACAUCCGGGGCGACACACGUGUUACAAUGGCGUGGACAAAGGGAGGCCACCUGGCGACAGGGAGCGAAUCCCCAAACCACGUCUCAGUUCGGAUCGGAGUCUGCAACCCGACUCCGUGAAGCUGGAUUCGCUAGUAAUCGCGCAUCAGCCAUGGCGCGGUGAAUACGUUCCCGGGCCUUGUACACACCGCCCGUCAAGCCAUGGGAGCCGGGGGUACCUGAAGUCCGUAACCGAAAGGAUCGGCCUAGGGUAAAACUGGUGACUGGGGCU
rnacentral:rRNA from 1 species